AUGACCCGACCGAAAAGUUUGGGAGGACUUGGCUUUCGGGAUAUAGAAAUCUUCAACUUGGCACUUUUGUCUCGGCAAAUUUGGAGAUUAUUGAAUGAUCCCUCCUCUCUUAGUGCACAAAUCCUUAAAGCAUCAUAUUUUCCACAAUGUACAGUCCUUGAAGCUCAACUAGGUCCACAUCCUUCUCAGGUGUGGUGAUCUAUACUUGAUGGG
rnacentral:rRNA from 1 species